UUGUUGAACUAUAGUUGUGCUUUUUAUUUAAUCUGUAUUUUAUUAUUUUUAAUAAUUAUAAUAUGUGUAUUGUCAUUUUUACCAACAGUUUUAUUCAGGUUUUUAUAGUGUAAGGGGCAUUAGUUUAAAACUAUUUUAUUCAUUGUAAAUGUCAAUAGAUAUAUGCUGGUAUAUUCACAGUACGUAGAUGAAAAGGAUUGGAACGAAAGCAGAACAUACUCGUUUGCUAAUAGAUAAUGCAACCACUGGUUGGAAUUUAGCGAUACUUCAUAGGAACCUUCACUAUCAAGAGGAGAUAAGCAUAUUAAUUUCGUGAUUUGGUAAAAUGUUUUUUUCACAAGUUAUUGCCUUUUGGUUAUGCAACAAUAAUACACUAUAGUACAAUUCUUGUCUGUAGUAUUUAUCAGCAAUCACUGGUUGGAAUUUAGCCAUACUUCAUAGGAAGUUUUACUAUGAGGAGAUGCGCAUUAUCUUCGUGUUUCGUUUGGAGGAUUUUUAUUGAUUUAAUGCCCUUUGAUUAUUCAACAUUUGUAAACUAUAGCGCCAUCAUAGUCGGGAGUAUUUCUCAGCAACCACUGCCUGUAAUUCAGCUAAGAAUCGUAGGACAUGAGUUGCACAUAUUUUCUUCCUUAUCCGUUCGAAUGAUUUCUUUCAAUGAGCCCUUUGAUCAUUCAGCAUCAGCAAACUACAUAUACCCAGUCAGUAAAUUCCACUUUUGCUCUUUCUAAAUGCAAAUUUCGGUGAGCAUCCAUCGGUUUUAUCGAUAUUUUCGUGUUGACGAGCAAUCCAUUCUUAAAUGGUAUUCUACGCUGAUACCUGAUUUUAGAAAACACGUUUAAUUAUUCGUAUGUAUUGUGCAUUUUAUGACAACAUUGUCAGUAGCUGAUUUUGGAAUAAGAUCCAACAUUGUUUAAGGUAAAGUAAUUGUUUUAAUGCGACGAUAAAUCUGUGAUGUAUACCGAUUAUGCCUUUUAAAUAAAAGUUUUACUGAAGCACAUGGUAAAGGUAAUAUGUUUUGCUGUUGUUUUUGAUAUUCACGCUAAUGAUGUUUUGUAUUUUUCGUACUUGAAUGCAUUGUAGAAUUUUGCAAGUCGUUGUUACGCUUCUAUUUAUAUUUCUUUACAUGUAUAUGAUACGUAUAUCAUAUUUGAUCUAUUAGAUGUGCAAUAAAUAUUUAUAUGA
rnacentral:lncRNA from 1 species